GAUGAGGAACCUGGGUACAGGGAGUCCCUGUGGUUACCUGGAGGGAUGGCCAUACGGACUUAUAGCCCAGACAGCCCCUCUUUCAGAGGUGAGGAGGAUCCCGGGCCCUGGAAACCUCUAGCUAGUAGCUUCUAGCUGUGGAUCCUGCUCUCUGCCUUGUUCUUUACCCUCAAGGGUACAAAUGAGUGAAUCUCCCGUUGUGUUAUUUCAAGACAGGCUGAGACUCCUGAGCUCAGAAGCCCGGGGAUGCCAAAUUCCAACUUUUACACAUCUGAUUAUUUUAAAAGUACCCCAAAUAAGCACACGCUCGUGAGUAUCACCAGUGUGCUCUUCUUUCUAGUCUCACUAAGUUUGGUGGUCACCGAAGCCUUGGAACAUGUGUGAG